rnacentral:rRNA from 1 species
UACGAAGGGGGCUAGCGUUGUUCGGAAUUACUGGGCGUAAAGGGCGCGUAGGCUGUGCUGUAAGUCAGGCGUGAAAGGCCCGGGCUCAACCUGGGAACUGCGUUUGAUACUGCGGCGCUGGAAUGCAGGAGAGGAUGGCGGAAUUCCCAGUGUAGAGGUGAAAUUCGUAGAUAUGGGGAGGAACACCAGUGGCGAAGGCGGCCACCUGGACGGAUACUGACGCUGAGACGCGAAAGCGUGGGUAGCAAACAGG